GGUUAAGCGACUAAGCGUACACGGUGGAUGCCCUGGCAGUCAGAGGCGAUGAAGGACGUGCUAAUCUGCGAUAAGCGUCGGUAAGGUGAUAUGAACCGUUAUAACCGGCGAUUUCCGAAUGGGGAAACCCAGUGUGAUUCGUCACACUAUCAUUAACUGAAUCCAUAGGUUAAUGAGGCGAACCGGGGAACUGAAACAUCUAAGUACCCCGAGGAAAAGAAAUCAACCGAGAUUCCCCAGUAGCGGCGAGCGAACGGGGAGCAGCCCAGAGCCUGAAUCAGUGUGUGUGUUAGUGGAAGCGUCUGGAAAGGCGCGCGAUACAGGGUGACAGCCCCGUACACAAAAAUGCACAUACUGUGAGCUCGAUGAGUAGGGCGGGACACGUGGUAUCCUGUCUGAAUAUGGGGGACCAUCCUCCAAGGCUAAAUACUCCUGACUGACCGAUAGUGAACCAGUACCGUGAGGGAAAGGCGAAAAGAACCCCGGCGAGGGAGUGAAAAAGAACCUGAAACCGUGUACGUACAAGCAGUGGGAGCCUCUUUAUGGGGUGACUGCGUACCUUUUGUAUAAUGGGUCAGCGACUUAUAUUCUGUAGCAAGGUUAACCGAAUAGGGGAGCCGAAGGGAAACCGAGUCUUAACUGGGCGUUAAGUUGCAGGGUAUAGACCCGAAACCCGGUGAUCUAGCCAUGGGCAGGUUGAAGGUUGGGUAACACUAACUGGAGGACCGAACCGACUAAUGUUGAAAAAUUAGCGGAUGACUUGUGGCUGGGGGUGAAAGGCCAAUCAAACCGGGAGAUAGCUGGUUCUCCCCGAAAGCUAUUUAGGUAGCGCCUCGUGAAUUCAUCUCCGGGGUAGAGCACUGUUUCGGCAAGGGGUCAUCCCGACUUACCAACCCGAUGCAAACUGCGAAUACCGGAGAAUGUUAUCACGGGAGACACACGGCGGGUGCUAACGUCCGUCGUGAAGAGGGAAACAACCCAGACCGCCAGCUAAGGUCCCAAAGUCAUGGUUAAGUGGGAAACGAUGUGGGAAGGCCCAGACAGCCAGGAUGUUGGCUUAGAAGCAGCCAUCAUUUAAAGAAAGCGUAAUAGCUCACUGGUCGAGUCGGCCUGCGCGGAAGAUGUAACGGGGCUAAACCAUGCACCGAAGCUGCGGCAGCGACACUAUGUGUUGUUGGGUAGGGGAGCGUUCUGUAAGCCUGUGAAGGUGUGCUGUGAGGUAUGCUGGAGGUAUCAGAAGUGCGAAUGCUGACAUAAGUAACGAUAAAGCGGGUGAAAAGCCCGCUCGCCGGAAGACCAAGGGUUCCUGUCCAACGUUAAUCGGGGCAGGGUGAGUCGACCCCUAAGGCGAGGCCGAAAGGCGUAGUCGAUGGGAAACAGGUUAAUAUUCCUGUACUUGGUGUUACUGCGAAGGGGGACGGAGAAGGCUAUGUUGGCCGGGCGACGGUUGUCCCGGUUUAAGCGUGUAGGCUGGUUUUCCAGGCAAAUCCGGAAAAUCAAGGCUGAGGCGUGAUGACGAGGCACUACGGUGCUGAAGCAACAAAUGCCCUGCUUCCAGGAAAAGCCUCUAAGCAUCAGGUAACAUCAAAUCGUACCCCAAACCGACACAGGUGGUCAGGUAGAGAAUACCAAGGCGCUUGAGAGAACUCGGGUGAAGGAACUAGGCAAAAUGGUGCCGUAACUUCGGGAGAAGGCACGCUGAUAUGUAGGUGAAGUCCCUUGCGGAUGGAGCUGAAAUCAGUCGAAGAUACCAGCUGGCUGCAACUGUUUAUUAAAAACACAGCACUGUGCAAACACGAAAGUGGACGUAUACGGUGUGACGCCUGCCCGGUGCCGGAAGGUUAAUUGAUGGGGUUAGCGGUAACGCGAAGCUCUUGAUCGAAGCCCCGGUAAACGGCGGCCGUAACUAUAACGGUCCUAAGGUAGCGAAAUUCCUUGUCGGGUAAGUUCCGACCUGCACGAAUGGCGUAAUGAUGGCCAGGCUGUCUCCACCCGAGACUCAGUGAAAUUGAACUCGCUGUGAAGAUGCAGUGUACCCGCGGCAAGACGGAAAGACCCCGUGAACCUUUACUAUAGCUUGACACUGAACAUUGAGCCUUGAUGUGUAGGAUAGGUGGGAGGCUUUGAAGUGUGGACGCCAGUCUGCAUGGAGCCGACCUUGAAAUACCACCCUUUAAUGUUUGAUGUUCUAACGUUGGCCCCUGAUCGGGGUUGCGGACAGUGUCUGGUGGGUAGUUUGACUGGGGCGGUCUCCUCCUAAAGAGUAACGGAGGAGCACGAAGGUUGGCUAAUCCUGGUCGGACAUCAGGAGGUUAGUGCAAUGGCAUAAGCCAGCUUGACUGCGAGCGUGACGGCGCGAGCAGGUGCGAAAGCAGGUCAUAGUGAUCCGGUGGUUCUGAAUGGAAGGGCCAUCGCUCAACGGAUAAAAGGUACUCCGGGGAUAACAGGCUGAUACCGCCCAAGAGUUCAUAUCGACGGCGGUGUUUGGCACCUCGAUGUCGGCUCAUCACAUCCUGGGGCUGAAGUAGGUCCCAAGGGUAUGGCUGUUCGCCAUUUAAAGUGGUACGCGAGCUGGGUUUAGAACGUCGUGAGACAGUUCGGUCCCUAUCUGCCGUGGGCGCUGGAGAACUGAGGGGCUGCUCCUAGUACGAGAGGACCGGAGUGGACGCAUCACUGGUGUUCGGGUUGUCAUGCCAAUGGCACUGCCCGGUAGCUAAAUGCGGAAGAGAUAAGUGCUGAAAGCAUCUAAGCACGAAACUUGCCCCGAGAUGAGUUCUCCCUGACUCCUUGAGAGUCCUGAAGGAACGUUGAAGACGACGACGUUGAUAGGCCGGGUGUGUAAGCGCAGCGAUGCGUUGAGCUAACCGGUACUAAUGAACCGUGAGGCUUAACCUU
rnacentral:rRNA from 1 species